UAGAGAUACAGCGUGGAAACAGGCCCUUUGUCCCACAGAAUCCGUGCCAACGAGCGAUCCCCGCACCUCAAACAC